ACGAACGCUGGCGGCGUGCUUAACACAUGCAAGUCGAACGGAAAGGCCCUGCUUUUGUGGGGUGCUCGAGUGGCGAACGGGUGAGUAACACGUGAGUAACCUGCCCUUGACUUUGGGAUAACUUCAGGAAACUGGGGCUAAUACCGGAUAGGAGCUCCUGCUGCAUGGUGGGGGUUGGAAAGUUUCGGCGGUUGGGGAUGGACUCGCGGCUUAUCAGCUUGUUGGUGGGGUAGUGAAUUAACAAGGCUUUGACGGGUAGCCGGCCUGAGAGGGUGGCCGCCCACAAUGGGACUGAGAUACGGACCAGACUCCUACGGGAGGCAGCAGUGGGGAAUAUUGCACAAUGAGCGGAAGCCUGAUGCAGCAACGCCGCGUUCGGGAUGACGGCCUUCGGGUUGUAAACCGCUUUCGCCUGUGACGAAGCGUGAGUGACGGUAAUGGGUAAAGAAGCACCGGCUAACUACGUG
rnacentral:rRNA from 1 species